UUCGCAAUGCCCGAAAGGGUGACGAAGCGACGCCGCGUGAGCGAAGAAGGCCCUAGGGUUGUAAAGCUCUGUCAGGGGUUAAGAAAUGUAGACGGGUUAAUACCCUGUUUAUUUGACAAAAGCCCCAAAGGAAGCCACGGCUAACUCUGUGCCAGCAGCCGCGGUAAUACAGAGGUGGCAAGCGUUGUUCGGAAUUAUUGGGCGUAAAGAGCACGUAGGCGGCUCUGCAAGUCAGUUGUGAAAGCCUUCCGCUCAACGGAAGAACGGCAGCUGAUACUACAGGGCUAGAGUACGGGAGGGGAGAGUGGAACUUCUGGUGGAGCGGUGAAAUGCGUAGAUAUCAGAAGGAACGCCGGCGGCGAAAGCGACUCUCUGGACCGAAACUGACGCUGAGUGUGCGAAAGCUAGGGGAGCAAACGGGAUUAGAUACCCCGGUAGUCCUAGCCGUAAACGAUGGGCACUAAGUAGAGGGGUUUU
rnacentral:rRNA from 1 species